GGAAUCUUAAUGAAUUUAGCUGCAGUUGGGUGCAUAUGGAUGAUAGUUUGCUGGUGUUAUUUUAAUACCUUCCACUUGACAGCAUAUAUGUUCAUAGAAACACCAAUGAUUACUUUUCAUUCAUUGUUAAACACACAAGAAACAGUUGGCAUAUAUGUUCUUGUAAACUCCAUGAACCGACCUAUAUAUAUACGUUCCCAUUCUCUUCUUCUAUACAUAACUCAACUCGAAAACACAAUCUUAACUCUCCUUCCACAUUGUAUUAAGCACUUUAGGGAGAAACUAAGAAAAUCGUGAUGGAAAGUUUCAAGAUUGCUAAAGUUUUCACCAUCUGCAUUAUGGUUCUUGUUACUUUCUCUAAUUUAGGAGCCUCGGCUGCGCUUGAAGAUGUUGCAGCACCUGCACCAUCUCCAACAAGUGCCGGAACAGCGUUAUGCAUACCAGCUGCACUUGCUGUUUUGGCUUCUCUAGUUGCUUAUAUCUUUUAAUUAUUAUUUAUCGAAUUCUUGGGUACCUAUAGAUAUCCUAUAUCCAACACCGGCUUGAGUUGUAAUCUGGUUUGUCGUUUUAAAUUUUCUUAAGCAUUGUAAGAAGCAAGAUGCAUCGAUUUAUAUCAAUAGAAGAAAUUAGCAGUAUUUCU
rnacentral:lncRNA from 1 species